rnacentral:rRNA from 1 species
CCCGCUGAACUUAAGCAUAUCAGUAAGCGGAGGAAAAGAAACUAACAAGGAUUCCCUCAGUAACGGCGAGUGAAGUGGGAACAGCUCAACUUUAAAAUCUGGGAGGUGUAUGAUCUCUCCGAAUUGUAGUUUAUAGAGGCGUUAUCUGAUGUAAUCUAAUAUGCACAAGUCCUUUGGAAUAAGGCGUCACAGAGGGUGAGAACCCCGUUUGGGCAUGUUAAUUAUAUCUCCAUGAGGCGCUCUCUGAGAGUCGAGUUGUUUGGGAAUGCAGCUCAAAAUGGGUGGUAAAUUCCAUCUAAAGCUAAAUAUUGGGGAGAGACCGAUAGCGAACAAGUACCGUGAGGGAAAGAUGAAAAGAACUUUGGAAAGAGAGUUAAACAGUACGUGAAAUUGCUGAAAGGGAAACGCUUGAAGUCAGUCGCGUUGUUCAGGAUUCAGCCUUGCUUCCGCUUGGUGUACUUCCUGUUCGACGGGUCAGCAUCAGUUUUGGCCAGUGGAUAAAGGCCCAGAGAAUGUGGCAUCCUCGGAUGUGUUAUAGCUUUGGGUCGCAUACAUUGGCUGGGACUGAGGAACUCAGCACGCCGAAAGGCCAGGUUUCGACCAUGUACGUGCUUAGGAUGCUGGCAUAAUGGCUUUAAUCGACCCGUCUUGAAACACGG